rnacentral:misc_RNA from 1 species
AGGGAAGUUGACCCAGUGUAGGGAGAUCUUUACAUCUUCUGCAGUUAAUCAAGACAAGCUUGGUUAGAUUUGGGAGUUUACAAAAUGCCAUCCAUCCAGGAAAAUGCAUUUCCUUGGUACUCUUUUAUAGACAACUUCUUUAGAUAUUUAUGUGGCUGGAGAUAAUUGAGCACUUGUUCUACUCUGCCAUCAUUAGCACUGCUCAUAAUGCCAUGAUCAUUUUCCCAAGAUAAAGC